rnacentral:rRNA from 1 species
CCUACGGGGGGCUGCAGUGGGGAAUAUUGGACAAUGGGGGGAACCCUGAUCCAGCCAUGCCGCGUGUGUGAAGAAGGCCCUCGGGUUGUAAAGCACUUUCAGUGAGGAAGAACACCUGGUGGUUAAUACCCAUCAGGAAAGACAUCACUCACAGAAGAAGCACCGGCUAACUCCGUGCCAGCAGCCGCGGUAAUACGGAGGGUGCGAGCGUUAAUCGGAAUUACUGGGCGUAAAGCGCGCGUAGGUGGCUUGAUAAGCCGGUUGUGAAAGCCCCGGGCUCAACCUGGGAACGGCAUCCGGAACUGUCAAGCUAGAGUGCAGGAGAGGAAGGUAGAAUUCCCGGUGUAGCGGUGAAAUGCGUAGAGAUCGGGAGGAAUACCAGUGGCGAAGGCGGCCUUCUGGACUGACACUGACACUGAGGUGCGAAAGCGUGGGUAGCAAACAGGAUUAGAUACCCCUGUAGUC